rnacentral:lncRNA from 1 species
UAGAAAUGAUACUCUUGCCAUUUUCCAGAUGAAGCUCCCACAGCUCGGGGCGACCCUCCGACCCGAGCUGCAUCCCCUGCCCACCCGGCCGGUCGUGGAUGGCUUGGUCGGGUUCCCGUGAAUGCAGAACUUGAGGCCUUGAGGGCAGGUGGUUUGUCUGGGGAGGUGGUCCCCAGGAAGCCAGAGCCAGACACAGAUGGCGGAAAAGCUGAGGAGAAGCUGCUUUGUCCAUGGCUGAGUAGCCUUCCUGGGCUAUGAGUUUCUGCCAGAUCACCAACAGCUGUGCCCAGUUUGUGCCAGCCAAAACCUGAACCACAGGCUUCUCUCUGGUUAAGUACAGUAUGGUCUAGGGGUAGCUGAAGCUUCCAGCUGGAGAAGGCUGGAGAAGAUCUUGGAGCAAACCCCUGCAGGGGCCACACACCUGCUGCAUCCUGGAGAAAGUGAAUGUCGCCUGUGGACUUCCUGUUGACGGAGGCAGGAAGCUCUGGGGUGCAGCCCAGCCCUUUGAAUGGUCUCCAGCAUCCGCUGGCUCUGGGACUUCACGCUCUGCUCAAUAGAAUCACUUUACCGGGCAUGCCACAAUGGUGAUUCAUCUCACCCGGGAGUCACAGCCCCGCUCCUGCGGCCGUCUAAAGGUGCUGAAAUGCACAACUCCUGUGUGCACUUACGAACUUCUCAGUGCACUGGUGCUGCGGGCCUCUUUCGUUCCAGGCAGAAAUUCAAGAGACCUGGAUUCCAAUCAGAUACUCGUCACUAACCGGCCUCGAGCAAGGCUUCGUUCGGUGUCUCCUGUUUUUAGAACGGGGACUAGAUCCCAUCUCUGUGAUGUGGACGGAGCACAGGGCUGUGCGACAGGAAUGGGGGUUUCAGCUUUGGCUCUGUCACCUGCCACCUGGGCAAGGCAUUCACUUAUGUCUCAGUGCCUCACGCUGUGGGAUGACAUGGCUGGAGAUGAUUCGUGUCCUUCAGGGUGUGACCUGAAGAACCCUUGUCCCCUAAGCAGCUAUCGAAAGAAGUCCUGGGAAAGGUU